rnacentral:rRNA from 1 species
AGAGUUUGAUCAUGGCUCAGAUUGAACGCUGGCGGCAGGCCUAACACAUGCAAGUCGAGCGGUAGCACAGAGAGCUUGCUCUCGGGUGACGAGCGGCGGACGGGUGAGUAAUGUCUGGGAAACUGCCUGAUGGAGGGGGAUAACUACUGGAAACGGUAGCUAAUACCGCAUAACGUCGCAAGACCAAAGUGGGGGACCUUCGGGCCUCAUGCCAUCAGAUGUGCCCAGAUGGGAUUAGCUAGUAGGUGGGGUAACGGCUCACCUAGGCGACGAUCCCUAGCUGGUCUGAGAGGAUGACCAGCCACACUGGAACUGAGACACGGUCCAGACUCCUACGGGAGGCAGCAGUGGGGAAUAUUGCACAAUGGGCGCAAGCCUGAUGCAGCCAUGCCGCGUGUGUGAAGAAGGCCUUCGGGUUGUAAAGCACUUUCAGCGGGGAGGAAGGCGAUAAGGUUAAUAACCUUGUCGAUUGACGUUACCCGCAGAAGAAGCACCGGCUAACUCCGUGCCAGCAGCCGCGGUAAUACGGAGGGUGCAAGCGUUAAUCGGAAUUACUGGGCGUAAAGCGCACGCAGGCGGUCUGUCAAGUCGGAUGUGAAAUCCCCGGGCUUAACCUGGGAACUGCAUUCGAAACUGGCAGGCUAGAGUCUUGUAGAGGGGGGUAGAAUUCCAGGUGUAGCGGUGAAAUGCGUAGAGAUCUGGAGGAAUACCGGUGGCGAAGGCGGCCCCCUGGACAAAGACUGACGCUCAGGUGCGAAAGCGUGGGGAGCAAACAGGAUUAGAUACCCUGGUAGUCCACGCCGUAAACGAUGUCGAUUUGGAGGUUGUGCCCUUGAGGCGUGGCUUCCGGAGCUAACGCGUUAAAUCGACCGCCUGGGGAGUACGGCCGCAAGGUUAAAACUCAAAUGAAUUGACGGGGGCCCGCACAAGCGGUGGAGCAUGUGGUUUAAUUCGAUGCAACGCGAAGAACCUUACCUGGUCUUGACAUCCACAGAACUUAGCAGAGAUGCUUUGGUGCCUUCGGGAACUGUGAGACAGGUGCUGCAUGGCUGUCGUCAGCUCGUGUUGUGAAAUGUUGGGUUAAGUCCCGCAACGAGCGCAACCCUUAUCCUUUGUUGCCAGCGGUUCGGCCGGGAACUCAAAGGAGACUGCCAGUGAUAAACUGGAGGAAGGUGGGGAUGACGUCAAGUCAUCAUGGCCCUUACGACCAGGGCUACACACGUGCUACAAUGGCAUAUACAAAGAGAAGCGACCUCGCGAGAGCAAGCGGACCUCAUAAAGUAUGUCGUAGUCCGGAUUGGAGUCUGCAACUCGACUCCAUGAAGUCGGAAUCGCUAGUAAUCGUAGAUCAGAAUGCUACGGUGAAUACGUUCCCGGGCCUUGUACACACCGCCCGUCACACCAUGGGAGUGGGUUGCAAAAGAAGUAGGUAGCUUAACCUUCGGGAGGGCGCUUACCACUUUGUGAUUCAUGACUGGGGUGAAGUCGUAACAAGGUAACCGUAGGGGAACCUGCGGUUGGAUCACCU